GGGUAUAGCUCAGUGGUAGAGCACAAUACUUAGUGCACAUGAGGUCCUGGGUUCAAUCCCCAGUACCUCCA
rnacentral:tRNA from 1 species